UACGGGGGGUGCAAGCGUUGUCCGGAAUCACUGGGCGUAAAGGGCGCGUAGGUGGUCUUGUAAGUCUGUGGUGAAAGCCCGGGGCUCAACCCCGGAAUUGCACCUCAAACUACACGGCUAGAGCAUUGGAGAGGGUAGCAGAAUUCACGGUGUAGCAGUGAAAUGCGUAGAUAUCGUGAGGAAUACCAGAGGCGAAGGCGGCUACCUGGACAAUUGCUGACGCUCAGGCACGAAAGCGUGGGGAUCAAACAGG
rnacentral:rRNA from 1 species